CCGACACCGAUAGCUUGAUAUACCACUUUAAUGUUCCCAACGUAUACGAAUUAAUUAAGCGCGAUGUACACAGAUUCGACACUUCAGACUAUCCGUCGGAUAAUGUAUACGGUAUACCAUUAGUCAAUAAGAAAGUUCUAGGUCUGAUGAAGGAUGAAAAUAAUGGUAAAAUCAUGACGGAGUUCGUAGGACUGCGAGCGAAAUUGUAUAGUUUUCGAAUUUUAGGCGAAACUAGGGAUAGGAAGCGUGCGAAAGGAAUCAAAGGAUCUACGUUAAAGACCAUAACCUUCGAUGAUUAUCUACAGUGUCUCGAGUGUCGAAAAAAUUUGAUUAAACCUCAAAAUUUGAUUCAAAGCAAAAAGCAUGAGGUUUAUACUGUUGAGCAAAAGAAAACAGCAUUAAGUUGGAAUGAUGAUAAGAGAGUGAUUGUUGCUCAUACGACGGAUACCCUCCCAUGGGGUUAUAAAAUAUGUUAAAAUAUGUAACCGUGUGCAAGGAAAAAAAAUGAAUUUUUCAUCAUAACCUCAACGCGUACCAAUCAUCUGGAUGGCAUCAUCCAAGUGUUUAUUGUCCUGAGUGCAAUAUAUACAAUGGUCAAGUGGACCGUUCGCUCGUGUGUGCAUUUGGAUCCUAGUUUUUCUAGGAACUACAAGUGGGGUAAGCUGGAGCGAUUCAUCCGACUCGACUCAGCCGUUCGACUCAGAGUUAGAAUAGUAUACGCAACCAUGGUGCGAGGAUGUCAAAUAAUGUUGAGCCUUAACGGAUUCAUAUCGAUAAAAGAAAUGGUGGCAAAGAGGAGCCAGCGACGGGCUAGGAGGAGCGAAAACAACGGCUGGUUCCUCUUCGAGGAGGAAGAUUGGGGCGGGGAAGAUAUUUUUUCUUUGAGACAUCUUUUCGGGAUGCGUCCCGCUAGUUGGAUAUAAUUGGGACUCUGACUACGAAUCGGAGGAGGAAAUAUAUU